rnacentral:rRNA from 1 species
GACGAACGCUGGCGGCGUGCUUAACACAUGCAAGUCGAACGGAAAGGCCCUGCUUUUGUGGGGUGCUCGAGUGGCGAACGGGUGAGUAACACGUGAGUAACCUGCCCUUGACUUUGGGAUAACUUCAGGAAACUGGGGCUAAUACCGGAUAGGAGCUCCUGCUGCAUGGUGGUGGUUGGAAAGUUUCGGCGGUUGGGGAUGGACUCGCGGCUUAUCAGCUUGUUGGUGGGGUAGUGGCUUACCAAGGCUUUGACGGGUAGCCGGCCUGAGAGGGUGACCGGCCACAUUGGGACUGAGAUACGGACCAGAAUCCUACGGGAGGCAGCAGUGGGGAGUAUUGCACAAUGGGCGGAAGCCUGAGGCAGCAACGCCGCGUGCGGGAUGACGGCCUUCGGGUUGUAAACAGCUUUCGCCUGUGACGAAGCGUGAGUGACGGUAAUGGGUAAAGAAGCACCGGCUAACUACGUG